UGGGGAAUAUUGCACAAUGGGCGCAAGCCUGAUGCAGCCAUGCCGCGUGUGUGAAGAAGGCCUUCGGGUUGUAAAGCACUUUCAGCGAGGAGGAAGGUGGUGAGCUUAAUACGCUCAUCAAUUGACGUUACUCGCAGAAGAAGCACCGGCUAACUCCGUGCCAGCAGCCGCGGUAAUACGGAGGGUGCAAGCGUUAAUCGGAAUUACUGGGCGUAAAGCGCACGCAGGCGGUUUGUUAAGUCAGAUGUGAAAUCCCCGGGCUCAACCUGGGAACUGCAUUUGAAACUGGCAAGCUAGAGUCUCGUAGAGGGGGGUAGAAUUCCAGGUGUAGCGGUGAAAUGCGUAGAGAUCCGGAGGAAUACCGGUGGCGAAGGCGGCCCCCUGGACGAAGACUGACGCUCAGGUGCGAAAGCGUGGGGCAGCAAACAGGAUUAGAUACCCUGGUAGUCCACGCUGUAAACGAUGUCGAUUUUGGAGGUUGUGCCCUUGAGGCGUGGCUUCCGGAGCUAACGCGUUAAAUCGACCGCCUGGGGAGUACGGCCGCAAGGUUAAAACUCAAAUGAAUUGACGGGGUC
rnacentral:rRNA from 1 species